rnacentral:rRNA from 2 species
UACGAACUGUGCGAACGUUAUUCGGAAUCACUGGGCUUAAAGGGUGCGUAGGCGGUUCUCUAAGUCAGGUGUGAAAUCUCUCGGCUCAACCGGGAAACUGCGCCUGAUACUGGAGGACUGGAGUGAGGCAGGGGUGUGUGGAACUUCCGGUGGAGCGGUGAAAUGUGUAGAUAUCGGAAGGAACGCCGGCAGCGAAAGCGGCACACUGGGCCUUUUCUGACGCUGAGGCACGAAAGCCAGGGGAGCGAACGGG